ensembl:lncRNA
CAGUCGGAGUCUGGGAGGAGAGGGGACGUUUCCUAUCGAUCAACAUCCGCAGACAGUGGAUCUACUUUGGCCAUGAGGGUGAGGACCAUGCAUCCACCUUGUAGGAUUGCUCACUCAGUUCUUGCUGCUCUCUUACCAAAAGAAUAACCGAUCCUGUCACUGGUGCCAAGAUGCCAGUUGCCCCUCCCUUCCUGUGAGUCGGUUGGUUCCAUUCCUGGGGAGUAGCAGCCCGCAGAAGGAGGGUGUCUGGUCCUCUAGCAGCUCUCAGACGUAACUCAGACCCCGAGGAAGCCAGGGCCUCAGCUGGUUACCGUGGAAACAUGGCCCAGGGAAAGCUGCUCUUCCCACAUCCCACUCCGCAGAUGCAUUUUGGUGACCUCCUUAGCAAUCCUAACCAGUGGCCUCUGAAAGUUUCCUGCUUGCUCCCUCCCCAGCCCACCCGCUCUCUCACCGGCUCUGGAGAUGAAAGCGAGGAUCAUUUUGCAUCCUUGAGCCUGUGGAGUUUCCCGCUGUGGGAUACAAUCAAGGAACACUUAUUGAAUACCUGGUCUGUGCUUGGGCCUGAGUGCAGCCUUUUUCCCUAAACCAGAAGACACUGAAGAGGUGGAGCAGGGUGGCCAAGAGCUUACGUUCUGGAGCCCAAUUGUCUGGGUUCAGAUCCUGCAACCAUCGUCUUGCCAUGCGUGGUGCUUUUAAAAUACGUCUGCACAUCCUUUAACCCGCCUCCCACCAGCAGCCGUUUAGUUCCCCUUCCGCUGACUGUGAGGGAGUCGUCCUCAGGGAUAAAUGUGGUGGGAGCGAUAAUGCAACUUCCCAGGGCUUGGUCAGGAAAGGUGGUACAGACUCUGCCCGUACCACCUCUCUCUCUCUCUCUUUGUACUUGUGCCUUGGGAGCCCUGAACCACCAUGUGAGAAGUUCGGCCACCCUGAAGCCAUGCUGGAGACGCCAAGAUGAGAGACCACAGAGAAAGAGAGACUUGACGGAGGAGCCCCAGCUCCUGGCCUCAGCAUCACCGGGAGGGUGGGGGCCUUCAGAUGGUCCCCAAGCCAUCUAGCGAUGCAGAGUGGAGCAGGGGCAAGCUGACCCCACCACGGCCCACCCAAAUCACAGAUGCACAAGCAGAAUAAAUGUUAUCGUUGGUUUAUGCCACUAAGUUCUGGAACAUCUCCAUCCUGAACAUUCUACAAAACUGGAAAAGUUGUAAACCACGAUACGUCCCUCUCCUCAUCUGCAUUGUGGGAACGGUCCCUGUACUUCCUUCCUGGAGCUGUGGAGAGGAUUCAGUGUGUUACAAACAGUCUGGGACACACCCAGUGAGCUCAGCGGCUGUCAGCGUAACCCAGCGCACGAGGGCAGAGGGCCCUUUGGGCUGCGCUGUGGGGAAAGCGUGGAGUCCAGAAGGCAGACACCCUCCUUGAGUGUUUCGAGGGGUCUAGAGCUGGAGUUCUGGAGGCCUCUAUUGAAACUCAUGUUAAGGAGGUGAGACAUGCGGGGGAAGCAACCAUGCAGAAGGGCAUGCUGGGAGCAGGGCGUCCCUCCCCUCCUGUUUCCCCGUCUUCCCGGCUCCCAUCCCCAGAGGCAACCAGAACUUGGGGACCAGCUUCUCGGAUGGCCUCCUGGAGAUUGUCACUUCAUAUGUAGCAUUUAUGCAAAAAAAAGGAGAAAGACAGACAGACAGACAGGGAAAGGGAGGGAGGAAGGGAAGGAAAGAAAAGAAAAAGAAAGUCGUUAACAGCUCCAUGAGGACAGGGAUCUGCCUGUUUCUUUCCCUGCUGCCUGCAGUGUCAAGAUCAGCGCCUCGUCCUGGCUCGUGAUCAGUAAAUACGUGAAGCAUGAACGUGGCCUUCUCUAUUCCAGGGGGAGCAUCCCAAACACGCUGCUCUCGGCUCACCGUCUGCAGUACCUUCCGUUGGGAGGUCACUCCUUCUCCACGUCCUGAGCUGCCUCGUUCUUUUGCUGGUGGACAAUGGUUCACCGUGGGGCCAUAUCGGGUGCAUGGGACCGUUCUUACUGAUGGAGACGCCACGCGGUUUGAUUCCAAGCUUUUGCUGCUGGGCAGGAAGACCCUCAUUCCUUGUGAGCACUGUGAAACAAUCCACCACAUCAAGCGUGAGCCGAAUCAGCCCCUCAGGAUGCUCCGGAGGACUCACGUGCGCAUUCACUCCUCCACUGGGAUUCACAAGGAGCUGGGAUGUGUUGGAUCCUGUUCAAGUCACCGGAGACGAAGCAGAGAACGAACAAGGAGCCUGCCCUGGAGGAGCUUCCGUUCCCCUGGGGAAACAGAUGACGCACCAGCGAACCAAUGAAGGGGUCACAGCCAAGGUUGGAUACAGCCUCCGUGCUGUCCGAGACACGGGAACAGGGCUCCACAAGUGGUUCCAGAUGCCGCGGGCCCCAUGCAGAGAGGUUGCUGGAAACCAGAUGCCUCCAGGAAGCCACGGGCCAUGCUGCCCCCAGCACCACCCCUGAGUCCCACGGAGAAGGCUGCUGAGGAAUUCGGCCCCAGGCCAGGCAGGGUGUGCCUGGGACUCCAGCCCCUCCAUUCCCUGAUGACAAAAUCUUCUUCGACUGCUCAAGACGCCUUGGCAGAGGCUGCGCGUGCAGGCGCCAGUCUAUUCAAGUUUUGCGUUCUUAUGUAAAAAUCCAGAUCUCAGGCUGCCUUUGUGGAGACCACGCACGUGGCAACAUCAGGCUGGCAUCCUUGGGUAGUGACUGUACACACUACC